rnacentral:rRNA from 1 species
AACGAGAAGAACCUUACCAGGUCUUGACAUCCUCUGAAAACCCUAGAGAUAGGGCUUUUCCUUCGGGAGCAGAGUGACAGGUGGUGCAUGGUUGUCGUCAGCUCGUGUCGUGAGAUGUUGGGUUAAGUCCCGCAACGAGCGCAACCCUUGAUCUUAGUUGCCAUCAUUAAGUUGGGCACUCUAAGGUGACUGCCGGUGACAAACCGGAGGAAGGUGGGGAUGACGUCAAAUCAUCAUGCCCCUUAUGACCUGGGCUACACACGUGCUACAAUGGACGGUACAAAGAGCUGCAAGACCGCGAGGUGGAGCUAAUCUCAUAAAACCGUUCUCAGUUCGGAUUGUAGGCUGCAACUCGCCUACAUGAAGCUGGAAUCGCUAGUAAUCGCGGAUCAGCAUGCCGCG